rnacentral:misc_RNA from 1 species
GAUAAGAACGUAGCGAAAUGCGAUAAGUAAUGUGAAUUGCAGAAUUCAGUGAAUCAUCGAAUCUUUGAACGCACAUUGCGCCCCCUGGUAUUCCGGGGGGCAUGCCUGUUCGAGCGUCAUUUCAUCACUCAAGCCUCGCUUGGUAUUGGGCAACGCGGUCCGCCGCGUGCCUCAAAUCGACCGGCUGGGUCUUCUGUCCCCUAAGCGUUGUGGAAACUAUUCGCUAAAGGGUGUUCGGGAGGCUACGCCGUAAAACAACCCCAUUUCUAAGGUUGACCUCGGAUCAGGUAGGGAUACCCGCUGAACUUAAGCAUAUCAAUAAGCGGAGGA